rnacentral:rRNA from 1 species
UACGUAGGGUGCAAGCGUUAAUCGGAAUUACUGGGCGUAAAGCGUGCGCGGGCGGUUCGUUAAGUCUGAUGUGAAAGCCCCGGGCUCAACCUGGGAAUGGCAUGGGAAACUGGCGAGCUGGAGUGUGGCAGAGGGGGGUGGAAUUCCGCGUGUAGCAGUGAAAUGCGUAGAGAUGCGGAGGAACACCGAUGGCGAAGGCAGCCCCCUGGGCUAACACUGACGCUGAGGCACGAAAGCGUGGGGAGCAAACAGG